rnacentral:rRNA from 1 species
AUUGAACGCUGGCGGCAGGCCUAACACAUGCAAGUCGAGCGGAAGAACGGAACUUGCUUUUGGUUUCAGCGGGGGACGGGCGAGUAAUGCCGAGGUAUCUGCCUGGCAGCGGUGGCGAACGUCCGGACACGGGCGCUAAUACCCCAUAAGUCCAGACGUUGUACGUGGGGGAUCUUGGGACCUUACGCUAUUAGGUGAGCCUAGGUGGGAUUAGCUCGUUGGUGGGGUGGAGGCGUACCAAGGCGCCGAUCCGUAGCUCCUGUGCGAGGAGGAGCAGUCACAGUGGGAGUGAGACGCGGUGCUGACUCCUACGGGAGGCAGCAGUGGGGAAGAUUGGGCAAUGGGGGGAAGACUGAUCCAGCCGCGCAGCGUGUGUGAAGAAGGGCUUCGGAGUGUAAAACAGUUUUUGUGGGGAGGAAGAGAAGCAAGUGGAUACAUCCCUGUUGUGACGGUACCAACAGAAGAAGCACCGGCUAACUACGUG